GAUUACCACAUUAAAUUGCAAAUUUAAAAAAGUUCCUUAUUGGUUCGGGCCU
rnacentral:tRNA from 1 species